AUUGAACGCUGGCGGCAUGCCUUACACAUGCAAGUCGAACGGCAGCACGGGAGCAAUCCUGGUGGCGAGUGGCGAACGGGUGAGUAAUAUAUCGGAACGUGCCCAGUCGUGGGGGAUAACGUAGCGAAAGCUACGCUAAUACCGCAUACGAUCUAUGGAUGAAAGCGGGGGAUCGCAAGACCUCGCGCGAUUGGAGCGGCCGAUAUCAGAUUAGGUAGUUGGUGGGGUAAAGGCUCACCAAGCCGACGAUCUGUAGCUGGUCUGAGAGGACGACCAGCCACACUGGGACUGGGACACGGCCCAGACUCCUACGGGAGGCAGCAGUGGGGAAUUUUGGACAAUGGGCGCAAGCCUGAUCCAGCAAUGCCGCGUGCAGGAUGAAGGCCUUCGGGUUGUAAACUGCUUUUGUACGGAGCGAAAAGGCUUCCACUAAUACUGGGGGCUCAUGACGGUACCGUAAGAAUAAGCACCGGCUAACUACGUGCCAGCCGCCGCAGUAAUAC
rnacentral:rRNA from 1 species